AGGAAUGCGCAGCUCUCUGUGUGCCUCUGCACUUCGAGAUCUGACGGGAUUGCCAGAAAUAUGCAUAUGUUCUUUAUGAUAUCACAUGAGAAGGCCAGCCAAUUAAAGCACUCCGCAGUAAAUGCAAGGAAGAUAAUUUCUGAGUCUAUUUAUGAUUGCUUAAUGUCAACAAAAGGGUCUUUUAAACGCAGCACAUUCCUUAGCCUGCACUCGCAGAUCAUGCUAAACACAUCCAAAUGCACAAACUAUAAAAGGAGGAAGAGGCCGGACCGGCACACCAAGCUCUUUGGUUUCUGCAUCUGGCCAGCGUCCACUGGGAGAAAUAAGGAAUUCCCUGCUUCUAAAACUCUCACACCUAAGUGUGAUUCUGUCAGAUGUAUCAGCAUAAACAUGGUUCACACUUACUUGGAAACUGAGAUCUGACCAGAACACUUCACCAUGUAAGUAACCUUAUUAUGGGUUAUCGAUUAGUAAAGAGAAC
rnacentral:lncRNA from 1 species